rnacentral:rRNA from 1 species
UACGGAGGGAGCUAGCGUUAUUCGGAAUUACUGGGCGUAAAGCGCACGUAGGCGGCUUUGUAAGUUAGAGGUGAAAGCCUGGAGCUCAACUCCAGAAUUGCCUUUAAGACUGCAUCGCUUGAAUCCAGGAGAGGUGAGUGGAAUUCCGAGUGUAGAGGUGAAAUUCGUAGAUAUUCGGAAGAACACCAGUGGCGAAGGCAGCUCGCUGGGACGGUACUGACGCUGAGACGCGAAAGCGUGGGGAGCAAACAGG